rnacentral:rRNA from 1 species
GGAAAAGAAAAUAACAAUGAUUCCCUCAGUAACGGCGAGCGAAGAGGGAUAAGCUCAAAUUUUAAAUCUGUUGGGUUCCACUUAACAGAGUUGUAUUUUGAAGAAACGUUUUCUGCGUCCAGGAUUAGCCUAAAUCCUUUGGGAUAAGGUAUCAUGGAGGGUGAGAAUCCCGUUCAUGGUUAAUCUUAAGGAAGCUCUACGAUACGUUUUCCAAGAGUCGAGUUGUUUGGGAUUGCAGCUCAAAAUGGGAGGUAAAUUUCUCCUAAGGCUAAAUAUUGGCGAGAGACCGAUAGCGAACAAGUACCGUGAGGGAAAGAUGAAAAGAACUUUGAAAAGAGAGUUAAACAGUACGUGAAAUUGUUGAAAGGGAAACGAUUGAAGUCAGUCAUACCAACGGGAAAUCAACCUUUUGAGCUUGGUCUCGUGGGUUUUGAAGAGUUUCAAAGCCUUCGGAUUCGCGGGAUUGGGAUCUCUCGGUGUACUUUUUCGUACGGUUAGUCAACAUCGGUUUUGAAUGUCAUAAAAUGACUGGAGGAAUGUAGCUUCGAUCUCGUAUUGAAGUGUUAUAGCCUUUGGUAGAUGUGAUGUUUGAGACCGAGGAUUGCAACGGAUACCCUUCAGGGCUAUUCGUCUGAUCUCUGAUACGUUGCCUUGAUGUUGAAAGCUUGCUUAUGAUGUUAGGGUAUUACGGUCAAAAGGUUNGAACGAAUUACAUUCGUUAAGGAUGUUGACGUAAUGACUUUAAACGACCCGUCUUGA